rnacentral:rRNA from 1 species
CACGGUGGAUGCCUUGGCACUAGGAGCCGAUGAAGGACGGGACUAACACCGAUAUGCUUUGGGGAGCUGUACGUAAGCUAUGAUCCAGAGAUUUCCGAAUGGGGGAACCCAACAUCUUUAAUAGGAUGUUACGAUUGUGUGAAUACAUAGCACAUUCGAGGUAGACGCAGAGAACUGAAACAUCUAAGUACCUGCAGGAAGAGAAAGAAAAUUCGAUUCCCUGAGUAGCGGCGAGCGAAACGGGAAAAGCCCAAACCAGCAAGCUUGCUUGUUGGGGUUGUAGGACUCCAAUAUGGUAGUUCUUUCAGAUAGUCGAAUGACUUGGAAAAGUCAGUCAAAGAGGGUAAAAACCCCGUAGACGAAAUGUGGAAGACACCUAGGAGGAUCCUGAGUACGGCGGAACACGAGAAAUUCCGUCGGAAUCCGGGAGGACCAUCUCCCAAGGCUAAAUACUCCCUAGUGACCGAUAGUGAACCAGUACCGUGAGGGAAAGGUGAAAAGCACCCCGGAAGGGGAGUGAAAUAGAACCUGAAACCGUGUGCCUACAACAAGUCAAAGCCCGUUAAUGGGUGAUGGCGUGCCUUUUGUAGAAUGAACCGGCGAGUUACGAUUGCAUGCGAGGUUAAGUUGAAGAGACGGAGCCGCAGCGAAAGCGAGUCUGAAUAGGGCGUUUGAGUAUGUAGUCGUAGACCCGAAACCAUGUGAUCUA